UGGGGAAUAUUGCACAAUGGGCGCAAGCCUGAUGCAGCCACGCCGCGUGUGUGAAGAAGGCCUUCGGGUUGUAAAGCACUUUCAGCGGGGAGGAAGGCGAUAAGGUUAAUAACCUUGUCGAUUGACGUUACCCGCAGAAGAAGCACCGGCUAACUCCGUGCCAGCAGCCGCGGUAAUACGGAGGGUGCAAGCGUUAAUCGGAAUUACUGGGCGUAAAGCGCACGCAGGCGGUCUGUCAAGUCGGAUGUGAAAUCCCCGGGCUCAACCUGGGAACUGCAUUCGAAACUGGCAGGCUAGAGUCUUGUAGAGGGGGGUAGAAUUCCAGGUGGAGCGGUGAAAUGCGUAGAGAUCUGGAGGAAUACCGGUGGCGAAGGCGGCCCCCUGGACAAAGACUGACGCUCAGGUGCGAAAGCGUGGGGAGCAAACAGG
rnacentral:rRNA from 1 species